rnacentral:antisense_RNA from 1 species
UUUUGCGUUGGGAUUGUUAUCCACAAUCGCGUUACCUACCGCGUGCAAAAGGUGGGUUUUACCCAAACCUGUACCACCGUA